rnacentral:lncRNA from 1 species
GCAUGAGCUCAUACAUGUCCAGCAAGAAGACUAUGGAGAUAAAUCCUGAUAAUGGCAUCAUGGAGGAGUUAAGGAAGAGAGCUGAAGCUGACAAGAAUGAUAAAUCUGUUAAGGACCUAGUGCUCCUGCUGUUUGAGACUGCCCUCCUGACCUCUGGCUUCAGCCUCGAUGAUCCGAACACUUUUGCUGCCAGGAUUCACAGGAUGUUGAAACUGGGUCUGAGCAUUGACGAGGAUGAGGCUGCUGGUGAUGAUGCUGACAUGCCUGCUUUGGAGGAGGAUGGUGCUGAAGAGAGUAAGAUGGAAGAAGUCGACUAGAGUCCUUC